rnacentral:rRNA from 1 species
CCGCCGGUGUUGUUGUGAGAAGUUCAUUAAACCUUAUCAUUUAGAGGAAGGAGAAGUCGUAACAAGGUUUCCGUAGGUGAACCUGCGGAAGGAUCAUUGAACACACGAUCUCGGAAAAACCCUGCGAAUCGUUCUGGUUACCACGAGGGAUCGUGCUGGGAGGCACGAUCGUCGGUCCUGGAGUCGAGGAUUCGUAUCCGUCUCGGGCGGAUCCUCCUGUUGGUGCGUGCUGGGAAGAGUACGUCUCCGGUGUACCGUCGGAACACUCCUCGGCACGCGUGGUCUCGUUCUCGGUGCUGGCGUGAUCGGGAGGGUCUCGCGAUCCUCUCGAAUCCUGCCUUGCUGCGUUCGAAGGUCGGGAGUGCGUUCCCCUCCUCCGAGGGGGGAGGGAGAGUUCUCUCUGGAGGCUCUCUUCUCUCUCCCCUCGGUGCCCCCUUUUUUUUCCCACUAGGAACCUGGUGAAACGAGUUUUGAUGGACUGAGAUGGGCGGAGGGGGAUUCGUAUCCGUCUCGGGCGCGGAUCCUCCGAGUCCCAACGAAAGCGAAAACACGCAAAAUGACUCUCAGCAACGGAUAUCUUGGCUCUUGCAACGUGAAGAACGCAGCGAUGCGAUACCUAGUGUGAAUUGCAGAAUUCCGCGAAUCAUUGAGUUUUUGAACGCAAGUUGCGCCCGAGGCUCGUUCCGAGGGCAUGCCUGCCUGAGCGUCCGCUCCGACCCACCCACAAGUCUCUUUUCCUCCUCCUCUUUGCCGGGGAGGAGGAACGGGAGUUCGUAGUGCGAGUGGAACUGGUCGUCCGGGAACCCGAUCGUCUCCCAUGCGGUGACGGUCGAAGGAUUCGCGGUUGGCUGAAAAAUGGGAGCCGUCCGUCAAAGCGCGCGCAGUGGGCAAGGGUGCGUCGCGAGAAGGUGCCGUCCUCUCCUCGUCUUCGGCGGGAGUUGGACGUUUGUAACAAAAGCGUCGCACUUCCCCUUGCGGAGUUUCGACUUGGCGGACUGGCGAGAUUCAAAUCAUGGGAACGUGAAGGUCCGGAUCCGUCUUCGCAGCCGUCCUCCCACCCGGGGGGCUCGUGCUCGGAGAGGGACCGGUCUGAGCGUCAUGUUGUUCGGACCUCAGAUCAGACAAGACCACCCGCUGAGUUUAAGCAUAUCACUAAGCGGAGGAGAAGAAACUAACAAGG